rnacentral:lncRNA from 1 species
AUGGACGAAUGGACAGGCAGAUCGAUAGACAGGUUGACGGCUUGUUUGGUAUGCUUUGAUGGCAGCUUGGUAGGGUCCCCAGAGGCUAAAUGCCAUGGCCCGUGGAGCACUUUCCAGGCUGCUGGCUUAAACCAGCCCUUUUCUAGUGCAUCAGCUUCUUGUUGUUUCUUCCCUUCCUGUCCAGGGGAUGAGUGUGUUGAUGGCAGGGAAGUAGCGGUUCCAGAGAGCAACUUGAAAGCCCCGGAUGCCAAGACCGAAAAUAGCGGCACAGAGGAACAGAUGGUGCCCAAGACCUCGCCAGACCCCACAGGUGCCGAGAACCCAGCCACACCCCCGGGGGAGGGGGUGCUCAGCUCCGACCUUGACAAAAUCCCCACUGAAGGUCAGGCGGGCCCUUUGAAUAGACCUACCGCUCCCCAUCUCCCUACCAAGGAUCUGCCCCCUGGAGAGCAGGGGAGACUGGGAGCCAGAGCUCUCCUGGCUUCCCUCCCCAGCUCCAGAAUGGGGGCAGAUAACUGGUGACUUCAAGGAAGCAUGAGUGCUGUUGUACCCAUUGUAUCCAGUGUUUUUAUACCCACCCCUUUGCGUCCACUCCCCGGUUUCCUUGAAGUUCGACCUGCCCUCAUGGGAGAUCAGCAGCUUCCCUAUAUGGCUGAAGUUGCUCUCUGUUGGUUAUUUGUUCAUAAGAGUCCCCUGUGGCUUUUCUCCUUACUAACAGAGCUGCCCAAAAUGGAAAGCAAGGAUGUCCAGCAGCUCUUCAAAGAUGUCCUGGGGUCGGCUGAGCGAGAGCAGCAGCUCAAUUGUGUGGGAACUGAAGCCGAGGCGGGGGGCAUUCGCGAUCCGAACCGUACACCACUUGCCCAAAGGCCGUUCCUGCAAGGUGAGCCUUUCAUCAUGUGGAUGGGACAUGAGUUCCGUUCUUGGUUUACUUCAGAGGCUCUGCCCACUGAAAUUUCGAAGAGAGAGGCAGCAUCAUGCCAGCAUCCGUCUUAAGUCUGUGGAGCCUUCUACCUAAGAGAACCCUAUAG